GAUGAACGCUGGCGGUAUGCUUAACACAUGCAAGUCGAACGGACUCUUCGGAGUUAGUGGCGGACGGGUGAGUAACGCGUGAGAAUCUGGCUUUGGGUUCGGGACAACCACUGGAAACGGUGGCUAAUACCGGAUGUGCCGAGAGGUAAAAGAGAAAUUGCCUGAAGAUGAGCUCGCGUCUGAUUAGCUAGUUGGUGAGGUAAAGGCUCACCAAGGCAGCGAUCAGUAGCUGGUCUGAGAGGAUGACCAGCCACACUGGGACUGAGACACGGCCCAGACUCCUACGGGAGGCAGCAGUGGGGAAUUUUCCGCAAUGGGCGAAAGCCUGAUGGAGCAAUACCGCGUGAGGGAAGAAGGCUCUUGGGUUGUAAACCUCUUUUCUUAGGGAAGAACAAAAUGACGGUACCUAAGGAAUCAGCAUCGGCUAACUCCGUG
rnacentral:rRNA from 1 species